UCGCAUGUCUGCGAGUGGGAAAAGUAUGUGAAUCUUUGCGUUCAGUAUCUGGUGUGACCCGCUUGUGCAGCAAUAAGUGCAACUAAACGUUUCCUGCACAUCGGCUUGGAGGAGUUUUAAUCCGUUCCUCAGUGCAGAACAGCUUCAACUCUGGGAUGUUGGUGGGUUUCCUCACAUGAACUGCUCGCUUCGGGUCCUUCAGCAACAUUUCUGUUGGAUUAAGUUCAUGGACAAAUAUCCUGACAUUUUCCUGUAGAAAUCGCUGGUAUAAUUCAGAAUUCAUUGUUCCAUCAAUAAUGGCACGUCGUCCUGGCUCAGAUGCAGAAAAACGGUCACAGACCGUGACACUACCACCACCAUGUUUCACAGAUGGGAUAAGGUUCUUAUGCUGGAAUGCAGUGUUUUUCUUUCUCCAAAUAUAACCCUUCUCAUUUAAACCAAAAAUUCCAUUUUGGUCUCAUCCUUCUACAAAACAUUUUUCCAGUAGUGUUCUGGCUUGUCCAUGUGAUCUUUAGCAAACUGCAGACAGGCAGCAAUGUUCUUUUUGGAGAGCAGUGACUUUCUCCUUGUAACCCUGCCAUGCACACCAUUGUCGUUCAGUGUUCUCCUGAUGGUGGACGCAUGAACAUUAACAUUAGCCAAUGUGAGACAGACCUCACAUCACAGACAGACAAACAGAGUGAGACACAGACACAGAGAGAUAGUCAGACAGACGUGCACAGAGAGAGAGAGAGAGAGAGAGAGAGAGAGAAAUAUAGACAGAUAGAGAGGCUAAGAGAGAGAGAGAAACACACAGACACAGACUGUGAGACAGAGAGACAAACAGAAAGAGAGACACACACACACACAGACAGACAGAGAGGCUGAGAGAGAGAGAUAGACAAACAGAGUGAGACACAGACAGAGAGAUAGUCAGACAGACGUGCACACACAGAGAGAGAGAGAGAGAAAUAUAGACAGAUACAGACAGAGAGGCUGAGAGAGAGAGACACACACACAGACACAGACUGUGAGACAGAGAGACAAACAGAAAGAGAGACACACACAGACAGAGAGGCCGAGAGAGAGAUAGACACAGACUGAGAGACAGAGGCUGAGAGAGAGACACACACAGACUGAGAGAUAGACACACAGACUGAGAGACAGAGGCUGAGAGAGAGACACACACAGACUGAGAGACAGAGGCUGAGAGAGAGAGAGAGACACAGACUGAGAGAGACAGAUAGACACACAGACUGAGUAACAGAGAGGCUGAGAGAGAGACACACAGACACAGACAGAGGCUGAGAGAGAGACACACACAGACUGUGGGACAGAGAGACACACACACAGACAGAAUCAGAGAGGCUGAGAGAGACACACACAAACUGAGAGAGAGAGAGAGAGACAGACACACACAGACGGGGAGAGAGAGAGGCUGAGAGAGAGAGAGAGCGCGACACAGACAGACACACAGACUGAGAGACAGAGAGGCCAAGUGAGAGAGAGAGAAAGAGACAGACUGGGAGAGAGAGGCAGAGAGGCUGAGAGUGAGAGAGAGAGAGAGAGAGAGAGAGAGAGAGACAGAUGUGGGAGGUAAAUAGAUUACAGUUGAUUGUUCAUGUUAAUAUCGCCACCAACACCAUCACACUCAUCUCCCAGAUUGUGAACUAUCCGAGUGGAGUCUCUGCCUAACUGGGUCGUAUAACUGCAUCACAUUUCUCAUUAAAUGCUGAGUGAAAAAAAAAAAAACACGCUCUUGUGAAACCUGACUGUUUUCUCGUCUUGUAACUGCACUAGUGAUUACGACGUCCCCCUGUGAGAGCAACUCGACACAACCACUAACUUCUCACGGGAAGACCGUAACUACACCACCAACCGACAGUUAGCACCACAGUUACUAAACACACCAGCAGUAUUUCAAUACGAACACAUCCACUCCGUUUCAGAGUGGAGCUUUGCUUUCAGGUGCACUUUUCAGACUGAACUCGCGUCGCAGUUGCCGUGCUCCGUCCAGUGGAUGAGUAAUAACUCCAGUUCAGCAGGACAUGUCCCUCAUUCAUUCAGAAGACCUACUGUACUGUAGAUCAGUGUCAUUUUUAGAGCACAUUUCCCAACCUAUUGUUUAGUGCUUAUCCUUUUUUUUUUUUUUAAGGACAUUUCAGUUUUUCUACAAAUCCUUGAAGGCUUCAUGACAGCCUUCUACUUUCUUCCAUGGACGUCAGUUUUACCCCUGAGCAUGAUGGAUCGAGAAUUUAAAAUCAAUUCCCAGAUGCGCGACCAGAAACCUGUGUUAACACUACUCUCAUUUUACGUCUCGGACGUUACUAUAUAUUAAAUAUUAGCCUCAUACACCGUGCCGUGCAUAAUUAUUCACCCCCUUGAGCUUUUCAACAUUUUUACUGUUAUAACCCAGAACUGAAAUGGAAUUAAAUAUUUUGUUUUUUUAACCAUUUUUGAUGUACACAAUAUUUCUAACAUUUGAACACACGACCGUGUAAUGCAGAUUAAUUAAACAGAAAAGCAGACAUUUGUUGGUUGUAUAAAUAUUCACCGCAUCGGGUCUGUACUCGGUAGAACCAUCUUUGUCUGCAGUUACAGCCUGAGGAGGGUAGCAAUGGUCUUGAAUUUCCUUUAUUUGUACACCAUCUAUCUGACUGUGGAUUGGUGGAGCCCAAACUCUUUAGAGAUGGUUUUGAGGCCUUUUCCAGCCUGACGAGCUUCAACAACUCUUUUUCCGAGGUCCUCAGAAAUCUCCUUUGUUCAUACCAUGAUACACUUCCGCAAACGUGCGUUGUGAAGAUCAGACUCUGAUAGAUCUCUGUUCUCUAAAUAAAACACGGAGCUCAUUCACAUCUGAUUGUGAGACCACCUGACUCUAAUUUCACCUUCAGAUUAACUGCUAAUCCUAGAGAGUCGCAUACUUUUGCCACUCACAGAUAUGUAAUAUUGGAUCAUUUUCCUCAAUGUAUAAAUGACCAAGUGUAAUAUUUUUGUCUCGUUUGUUUAAUUGGGUUCUCGUUAUCUACUUUGAGGACUUGUGUGAAAAUCUGAUGAUGGUUUUUGGUCAUAUUUAUGCAGAUAUUUAGAAAAUUCUAAAGGGUUGUAAAAAAAAAAAAUGAA